CGCGUAGGCGGCUUGUACAGUCAGACGUGAAAUUCCUGGGCUCAACCUGGGGGCUGCGUUUGAUACGUGCGGGCUUGAGUUCGGAAGAGGGUCGUGGAAUUCCCAGUGUAGAGGUGAAAUUCGUAGAUAUUGGGAAGAACACCGGUGGCGAAGGCGGCGACCUGGUCCGAUACUGACGCUGAGGCGCGAAAGCGUGGGGAGCAAAACA
rnacentral:rRNA from 1 species